AAACUUUCAACAACGGAUCUCUUGGUUCUGGCAUCGAUGAAGAACGCAGCGAAAUGCGAUAAGUAAUGUGAAUUGCAGAAUUCAGUGAAUCAUCGAAUCUUUGAACGCAUUGCGCCCUCUGGUAUUCCGGAGGGCAUGCCUGUUCGAGCGUCAUUU
rnacentral:rRNA from 1 species